rnacentral:piRNA from 1 species
AGACUGGCAUAGCUGGACAUCCAACAU